rnacentral:lncRNA from 1 species
GCUCGCUUAGGUAAGUGCUCAUCUCUGGCAGUAAAAUGGCCAAGAUCGACUUUAAAAGUUAAGACCUUGGGGAAAAAUUGCACCUUUUACCCGUUAGAAAAAUUAAAAAGAAAAAAACUUGCUAAAAUGAAAAUUUUACCUCCUUGUCCGUGGAGAUUCUCUUAAUUAAUGGGUCUUGCCAACAUUCUGGAUGAAGUUAUGCACUUGUGCUUCUUUGAAACUAGUCUAUUCUUGCCUUGAAUAUUAUAUCGGCCUACAACAUUUUGCAUAAAGCUGAAUCUAUUUUUUAUGGUGAAGUUAAUACUGAGUCUAUUUUUUUUUACGCAUAAAGCUGAGAUUUUGCAAUUGACAUGAUUUUUUGCAUUAUUCUCCAAAUUAUUGCAGUCAUGUCUACUGGAAGUACUAACAGUCCCAAUCAAGUCAUGACAUCACCAGAUUGGUCAGCUGAAAGUCCUACUCCAGCUCCAGCUCCAGCUCCUAGCUCGGCAGAUUCAGGAGGAAAAGAGCCAAAGAAGCGAGGUCCAUACAAGAAAAGAUCUACAGUUUGGUCACACUUCAAAGAAGUUGUUGAGGGUAAGAUUAGAUAUGGUGAAUGCCUUUUUUGCGAGAAACGCAUAGCUGCUGAUGGUAGGACUAAUGGUACAACUGGUUUGAGAAAUCAUAUAACCAGAUG